CCUACGGGAGGCAGCAGUCGAGAAUCAUUCACAAUGGGGGAAACCCUGAUGGUGCGACGCCGCGUGGAGGAAUGCAGCUCUUCGGAUUGUAAACCCCUGUUAUGUGGGAGCAAAUUAAAAAGAUAGUACCACAAGAGGAAGAGACGGCUAACUCUGUGCCAGCAGCCGCGGUAAUACAGAGGUCUCAAGCGUUGUUCGGAGUCACUGGGCGUAAAGCGUGCGUAGGCUGUUUAGUAAGUCGGGUGUGAAAGGCGCGGGCUCAACCCGCGGAGGGCACAUGAUACUGGGAGACUAGAGUAAUGGAGGGGUAGCCGGAAUUCGCGGUGUAGCAGUGAAAUGCGUAGAUAUCGAGAGGAACCCUGGUGGCGAAGGCAGGUUCCUGGACAUUAACUGACGCUGAGGCUCGAAAGUGUGGGGAGCAAACAGUAUUAGAUACCCUUGUAGUC
rnacentral:rRNA from 1 species